UACAGAGGGUGCGAGCGUUGUCCGGAAUCACUGGGCGUAAAGGGCGCGUAGGCGGCUUGAUAAGCGUGCGGUGAAAGCCCGGGGCUCAACCCCGGGUCGGCCGUGCGAACUGUCGAGCUGGAGCACUGUAGAGGCAGGUGGAAUUCCGGGUGUAGCGGUGGAAUGCGUAGAGAUCCGGAAGAACACCGGUGGCGAAGGCGGCCUGCUGGGCAGUGGCUGACGCUGAAGCGCGACAGCGUGGGGAGCAAACAGG
rnacentral:rRNA from 1 species